AACCCUUGGCAAUGGGCAAAGAGACACCUUGUUGAUGUUGGUAUUAUUCUUAUAUCAGUCAGGGGCAGAGCAGACAGCAGUCCUUAAUUCAUCUAGCUUGAUGCCUGGCUCGGUGGCCAAAACUGUCUUAUGUCUAAGAUUUGAUA